CACCUCUCAGGGUCGCAGCUGGAGAGUUUCUAGUCCUCUAUCAGUCUCGACUCUGGGCGGGAGAGUCAAGAAGAGGCCUAUCCAUUCCAUUCCUAGCUUGGUCAGUACCUAGCAAGUGGAAGACAAUCUGCUACAAGG